rfam:Trichuris suis scaffold257.3, whole genome shotgun sequence.
GCCUACGAUCAUACUACGUUGAAAGCACCGCAUCCCGUCAGAUCUGCGAAGUUAAGCAACGUUAGGCCGGGUUAGUACUAUGGUUGGUGACAACAUGGGAACACUCGGUGUCGUAGGCU